ACUCUGACUGACGAUACUUUAAUCACCACGCUAAUUCAAGUCGAGAAACUUCUCAACGGCCGCCCGUUAACGUAUGUAAGCGUAAACCCGGCGGAUCCUGAACCCAUUACGCCAAAUCAUCUUCUCCUUGGACACGAAAAUCCGUACAUACCUUUUGAUCUGUUCGACGAAAACGAUAUGACGACCAAAAGGAAGUACCGCAUUGCUCAGUACCUAACUGAUUGUUUCCGGAGACGUUGGAUGAAAGAGUAUCUUCCCAGCCUAACGGAACGACGAAAAUGGCUACAUGGACAAAGAAUCUGAACGUUGGCGACAUCGUGAUCGUUAUCGAGCCAGAUACACCCCGUGGAGAAUGGCCAAUCGCUCGUGUCGUCAAGGUGUUUUCCGGCCCAGAUGGCGUAGUCCGUUCCGCAAUCGUUCACCUUCGUUCGGCUACCAAAACCUCCGAACUUCACCGCCCGGCUGUGAAACUCUGCUUGUUGGAGUCUUGGGAUACGGAUGGUGCGUCCGCUUACGAACGCAGAGCCGGCUAUGUUCCGAAUCCUACAACUCCGAAAUAGCUAGAAGAGGCUUUGUCGCGAUCGGUAUUGUGCCAUAGGCGAGAACGGAGGCAGGGGAACGUAGACGACGCAACGACAAGGGAAGAACACGUUUGGCGGCGUUAAUUACACACAAGAAUUUGCCAGUUACAGACGCGUCAAUCGUUUUCAAUAUAACAGUUUUGUAACACUUAAAUGUCAGUCUGAUUUAACGUGCCCGUAAAACAAUACAGAGUAUCGAAAAUUACCUACAGUGUAAAGUCAGUGCGUAUCGAUAACAUUGGCUGUAGACGUCAAACGUUUUUCUCAACCAGCAUUUUCCUUCUCUCUUGAAAUCCUAAAGAGUCGAAAUUUUGAACCCCUGCCAGCCGAACGGCUAAUAAUUGAGCAAAAUCUUUGGGUGUACCUUGUUUUCUACACGAAAGAACCUACCCAACAAAAAUGAUCUAAAUCGCAGAGAUGGUCGCAACGACCGCUGAAUGUUUUGGUGAGGAAUGAUGUACUGCCCUUAACUUUCCUGAUGCUUACGCUCAAAGGGUCAGAUGCUUGGACAGAAUCAUAGCUUUUUUAUACUAGCGCCGUAUUUUUUUGUUAUUACGACAGGUUCCGAUGAAAUUCGCAGCUGAAACUAACUUUACUCAAGCUUUUCCACCCUUUAGGUAAUACUCGCCGUCUGCGGAAGACAAAUGUUCCCUUAGGUGAAUAGGCUAAAUAAGCGACAAGUUGCUUCAAACGUCGUUAGUAGGUACACGUAGCACAGAAUAAAGGAUUGAACUGCAGCCAACGGAAGUGAACCAUCAUCUGGGAUUGCCGUUUUCUUGCUGGAUAUUAAG